CUUGUCUGCAGAAACAUUUCAGGUUAGGCUGGAUGGGACUUUGAGCAACCUUACAUAGUUGAAGAUAUCCCUAAUUGUUGGGGGUUUGGCCUAGAUGGCCUUUAAAAGUUCCUUCCAACCCAAGCCCUUCUAUGAUUGUGUUCCUAUUGUAUGAUCUUGUCAUGCUCAGCAUUUGGAAUACAUAAGACUGGGAAAAAAUUUGGAGGUUUGCACAUCUUAAGAUGCUUUUUAUAUUUUCCUUUCCUUUUCAGCUGUCCUGAGUGAAACUUGGCCUCUGUAACCAGUGAAGUCCAUGCAAAUUCCCGAAGUUACUGGGGCAGUAACUAAGAAGCAUGAACAGAAACACACUGCAAAUUGCUCAUUUUCAAUAAAUUACAACUUACCAAGACCAAAGGACCUUUAUAGCAUUAAGAGAUGCAGUCUCCAAAAUAUACAAGUAAUAAGAGCAAACCUGGGGCAGCAGACCCUGCUCCCUUCUGUACUUUUCCUGCAUGGAGCCAACAGCAGCUGUGACAUUUUCCAGCUCAGAAUCCAGCACAAUCCAGCACUAUACAGAUAUACAGAUAUACAGAUAUACAGUAUGUGUUCCAUACUUGUCUCUACCAGCCUCUGA
rnacentral:lncRNA from 1 species